AUCAUAUCACGUUGAAACACCCGCAAUUGUACGACCACCGAAGUUAAGCAACGUCGAACCUGGUCAGUACCUUGAUGAGUGACCGCACGGGAAUAUCAAGUGCUAUAG